GCCGGCGCCUGCGCGGCGGGAGCUGCCGUUGCGGGACCCCUGAGGAGAUGGAGGCGGCGGCGCGGCGGGAGCGGCCGGACCAGCAGCGGGGCGCGGCGGCGGAUGGCGGCCGGUCGCUGUCGGGACAGUCCUACUGGCUGGACCUGUGGCUCUUCGUCCUCUUCGAUCUGGCGCUCUUCGUAGUCAUCUACCUGCUGCCCUGAGGGCGCCGGGCCCAGAGCCACUAUCUCAUCACAGAAUGCACCUUAAGGAAACAGGCAGUGGAAGAGGAGGGCCAUUUGCGCAGCGUGGGCAACUGGGAACGCCAUUCCACCUACCACUGAAUGCAAGAGGCAUAUAUCUACAUUAUGUCAUAAUAUAUCUCUCUCUGUAUCACAAGUGUUACUGUUCAGGAUUUUGCCUGUGUCCUGUUUCUGUGUUCUAAACUGUGCCUUAGAGGUCAUGUAAGACAGCUUGACUGUGCUUUUCUAAUUAGUGCCUAAAGGUUUCUUAGGGAUAAAUGAAACUAUUGUUUGAAUAAAGUCAACUGAAAGGACAGACUGUAAAGUGGCUGAGAAUAAAAUCCAGCUCUUAUGUAGAC